UAACAAAAAAUUUUUGGAAUAGUACUAUUAAUGAAAUUUAACGGAUUUGGCGGCAAGAUAGCCACUUAGAGGAACCUGCCCUGUAAACGAUGAACCACGAUUAACCUUACUUUUAUUAGAAUCCAGUUUGUAUACCGCUGUUGUCAGUUAGUUUCUUUAGAAAACUUUCGUACAUGAAAAGUUCAAGGACUUCAAGUAAAGGUGCAGCUUAUGUAAAAGAUAGAGGUGGGUUACAAUUAAAAGAAUAAUAUGGAUAAAGUAGAGAAGAAACUUUUGAAGGUGGAUUUAAUAGUAAAGUUUAAAAAGACUUGAUUAGAGCUCUAUCUUGUGUACACACCGCCCGUCGUCNG
rnacentral:rRNA from 1 species